AGUGAACGCUGGCGGUAGGCCUAACACAUGCAAGUCGAACGGCAGCACAGUAAGAGCUUGCUCUUACGGGUGGCGAGUGGCGGACGGGUGAGGAAUACAUCGGAAUCUACUUUUUCGUGGGGGAUAACGUAGGGAAACUUACGCUAAUACCGCAUACGACCUACGGGUGAAAGCAGGGGAUCUUCGGACCUUGCGCGAUUGAAUGAGCCGAUGUCGGAUUAGCUAGUUGGCGGGGUAAAGGCCCACCAAGGCGACGAUCCGUAGCUGGUCUGAGAGGAUGAUCAGCCAACAGGGAACGGAGACAAGGUCAAGAAGCCGACGGGAGGCAGCCGUUGGGAAUAUUGGAGAAUGGGCGAAAGCCUGAUCCAGCCAUACCGCGUGUGUGAAGAAGGACUAAGGGUUGCAAAUCCCUUUCGCUGGGAAAGAACAGCAGCAGAUGAAUACCCCGCUGUUCUGACGGUACCCAAAGAGUCAGCAAUGGCUAACAUCGUG
rnacentral:rRNA from 1 species